CCUACGGGUGGCUGCAGUGGGGAAUAUUGGACAAUGGGCGAAAGCCUGAUCCAGCCAUGCCGCGUGUGUGAAGAAGGCCUUCGGGUUGUAAAGCACUUUCAGUGGGGAAGAAAGCCUUGGGGCUAAUACCCUAGAGGAAGGACAUCACCCACAGAAGAAGCACCGGCUAACUCCGUGCCAGCAGCCGCGGUAAUACGGAGGGUGCGAGCGUUAAUCGGAAUUACUGGGCGUAAAGCGCGCGUAGGCGGUCUGAUAAGCCGGUUGUGAAAGCCCCGGGCUCAACCUGGGAACGGCAUCCGGAACUGUCAGGCUAGAGUGCAGGAGAGGAAGGUAGAAUUCCCGGUGUAGCGGUGAAAUGCGUAGAGAUCGGGAGGAAUACCAGUGGCGAAGGCGGCCUUCUGGACUGACACUGACGCUGAGGUGCGAAAGCGUGGGUAGCAAACAGGAUUAGAUACCCUGGUAGUC
rnacentral:rRNA from 1 species